rnacentral:rRNA from 1 species
GACGAACGCUGGCGGCGUGCUUAACACAUGCAAGUCGAACGGAAAGGCCCUGCUUUUGUGGGGUGCUCGAGUGGCGAACGGGUGAGUAACACGUGAGUAACCUGCACUUGACUUUGGGAUAACUUCAUGAAACUGGGGCUAAUACCGGAUAGGAGCUCCUGCUGCAUGGUGGGGGUUGGAAAGUUUCGGCGGUUGGGGAUGGACUCGCGGCUUAUCAGCUUGUUGGUGGGGUAGUGGAUUACCAAGGCUUUGACGGGUAGCCGGCCUGAGAGGGUGAGCGGCCACAUUGGGACUGAGAUGCGGCCCAGACUACUCCGGGAGGCAGCAGUGCGGAAUAGUGCACAAUGGGCGGAAGCCUGAUGCAGCAACGCAGCGUGCGGGAUGACGGCAUUCGGGUUGUAUACCGAUUUCGCCUGUCACGAAGUGUGAGUGACGGUAAUGGGUAAAGAAGCUCCGGCUAACUACGUG